rnacentral:lncRNA from 1 species
AAAAUUGAAGAAUGCAUAGAAGUAUUCAAUCCCUAAUUUCUUCUGUAUGUUUAUCGACUUUCAAAAUGGAGGCCUACUCAUUCCUGGAGGAUGCUGAUAUAAAUGAUGGUGAAGCUGCUGAUGGCAAGGAGGUUUGCUAUGAAGAAAGCCAUCAUUCUACCAUCAAAAUACAUUUAUGAAGAUGAAGUGAGAUUGGCAAAGAGAAAACUGAAUGUCCCUGAAUAAAACCUCUGUAUCUGGAUAAUUA